UUUUGUUGUUUUGUUGCUUCACCUGUAUCAUUCGGUUACUUAUACAAGGAAUAAAACCUUAGAUAGAAUGAAGGAUAUGUAUGUUCAAUGGCGGCGAGAGAGGGUGAGAGACAUUGAGAUUGUGAAGGAAUGUUGUGAAAGAAGAAGAACCGUAAGGAAGGAGCUGCCAUUGUUGGGUUUCUUCGACAGUCAGAACUCUCACUGGAGCGUUAGUUGAGGCAAAGAGGUGGGGAUAGUUUAGCGAGAACAGGAUCAUCCCCUCAGCUCCAACUCUGCUCGACACCGUGAACCAGGUGGGGAGGCAUUUCCGAUGGCUGCAUCAUCCUCUGGCAAUUUUGUGGGACUCCGAUGGAUCCCGUACGUUCUCCAGAGCAGUAAAGGCAGGUAAGGCUCAGUUUAUGCUGUGAUUUCUUAUCUAUCACUGGUGACUUCAAUUAGAGAGACACUAAUUGAUGAAUUUUGAUUCCGUUUUGUCUGCCUAAUGCUUUUCCGACGACUGUUUUGGGACCUCCAGCAGCAGCAGUAGGGAAGAAGACGAGGUAUUAGUCUCCGAUGGCCAGAAAGAAGGUGGGGAAACCGAUAUCUGUCGGGGCGUGGGUUUGCAGAACUCAUAACUUGGUUGUGGAGUUGCGUUUCCUGGUGAGCGAAGAAUUCAACCACCGCUGAAGGAAUGCUCUUGUGCGCCCCCUGGAAGCUAGGUACACCAAUUGAACUCCUGUUGGGCUUUAAUGCAUUGGUGAGUAUCAAAGUUAGCUAAUGGGUUGGUGGCAUGUAAUUGAUUAUGCGAAUUGAUUAAUCUAAAUGGGAUGAUAACCUAUGGCUGUGAAAUUUAUUUGUAAUUUGAUGUAUAUGAUUAAACGAAAUAUGUAUAUGAAUGAGACUUGAAUUAAGCUCUAGAAAAAAUAUGUGGGUUUAAA
rnacentral:lncRNA from 1 species